rfam:Ovis aries breed Texel chromosome 16, whole genome shotgun sequence.
UCCCUGGUGGCUCAGAUGGUAAAGAACCUACCUGCAAUGUAGGAGACCUGGGUUCAAUCCCUGGGUCGGGAA